GCUGAUUGGGUCGGAAAAUCCACCUUAUUCCCAGGCUAACUCCCCGGAUAAUGCUGCUGAUCCUUCCAGGUGAUCGGAAAAUAAAGAAAUGGUUAAAAAAAAAAAAAAGAAAAAGUUUUCGUAGGCGAAUAUAAUUUCGCACGUGAAGGGUGAUUUCUUGGUUUCGUCUCUCUAGACUGAAGUCUCAUCCCAGAUCCGCAGCUUGUAAACUCCGUGCUGAGACCCUUCUUUCAUCAUCAAAAAAUAAGAGAUUUUAUCAAAAUUUAUAUAUUUUCAAACUUAAGCCAGAUUUUCGAUGAGUUUUUUAACAGAAUUGUGGCUUGAUGUCUUAGUGAGUUAAUCUUGAAGGGAUUUCAAAGAAAGUAGCCACCAGUUGAGCCUAUUAACUUUGUCCUUUACUGUAUUAUCCUAUUGACUUGAAAUUGAUUAGUGAGUCUUAAUAUGUGCUCAAAUUUGGCUCAGUUAUGAAUCAAUGUGAACCUGAAGUUUAAGCAACUUGAUUAAUUAUGCAAUCCAAUCUAGAGAAGCUCAACGUGACCAUUUUGAAAAUGUACGAGGCUAAAGUGAGAUUAGUUUCAAACCACAUAGAUUGAAUGAGCAUUACUCAAAUGAUAAAAUGAAAUUGGCAACAAACUAAUCGAUUCAUCUUUAUUCUUUUCUGAGCCAUCAGCAAUGGCAGCGAAGCUACUAAUUUCUCCUCUCUUCUCGUUGCACAGUUCCGACCCAAGACCAGCACCACAUUCACCCAUGGCUUGGACGUGGACGCUUGUCAACAAGAAACAGGAGCCUCAUACUUCGAGUGUCGUCCUCCCUUGACAAUGAGAUUUUAUCAUCCACUUCUUCAGCUGUCCUGCAUAAUCUGCACCACUACCCGCAGUCUCUUACCUAUUGGCAGAUACUGCAGGAAACUCAUUGGCCAGUUACUAUACUUCUCUUGGUCUCUUUAUUAUUUCCGUUCCUGGCCUUUGGUCCCUUAUCAAGUGCUCAGUUAAAUCUAAGUUACCAAACUGUUAUGUCCAUUUUUACUCUGGACUAUACCAAAAUGCGAUACAGGAAGCAUGUUUGGCUAAGUUUAAAAAGUUCUACUCAUAAGUUCUAAAGUAACUUUUUACAUCGAUCAAAGUGAGAUAUAAGUAAGCUAUUCAUUUUGACAUAAUGAUAGAUUUACUUACAAAAUAAGUUUGUUUUUACUAAAGUAAGACAAAAUCAAGUUAUCCCAUAUUCGGAAAUUCGACGUUACUUAAAAGUAACUUUUACGUAUUUUAAGCUUUUCAAACAUGCUUUUAUAGGUUGAGAGUGAUUUUAUUUUCUUCAUCUCUGAUACGUUUUUUUAUUUUGCUUUACUUGAAACUAUCCAAAUUGCCUUUUCAUUCUUAGAACAGAUUGUGCAAAAGACAUUCAUAGGAGAAGGGAAGGGGGAGAAGGCUCCUAACCAAGUGGAAGGAGAAAUUCUUUCAUUCUUUACUUGAAAUAAUUUUGUGGUGUUGGAUAGAGGAGAUUCGAUAACGUAAGCCACUAAUUCUAUCACAUGUUCCUUAAAAGUAGUGUUUGAUAACAAAAUCUCUUUAUGCAACAACCUUGCAUGCGGUAAAUUUCAGAAUUGUAACGUUUUCACAUCUGAAGAAUUUCAAUGUCAAUAUUUAGUUCAACUAGAUGAAAUAUGACCAAGGGUUAAUGAGAACUUGCAGCACCAUAAAUUCUCAUGCUCAUAUACUUCAAUUGAUAUUUUCCUUCUCAGCUUUUGUAAUUGGUAAAUAGCAUGCUUAUCAUCAUGGUUUAUGUUAAUUUAUAGCUUAGGAGAAGUUUUCAAGUUCUUCCAUGUAUAAGAACAUCCAAAAAGCCACUUUUCCCGGAUGCUCUUCUUUUAGAAAAGUGAUGGCUAAUUCUUCUAUUACUGUUGGUUAUGCUCAACCAGUACCAAUGGGUUGGUUGUCUUUCAUAAUCACUUAACUGAUUGCAGAUCCAAAUGGUAGUAUACACUUAUUCUCCAACUAUGGAUUGCCCUAAACCGUUUUCUCUUAGACAUACAAAAAUUGUAAGAUAGCCAUGGUAAAAUUUAGUUUUCUUCAUAGUGAAAAACCUGCCAUUAUAAAACUCUGUUUUCUUGCAUGUUUCUGAUAUUUCGUUGUGCUUAUUUUUAUAACAUGUUUCUAUUUACUUUACGUUUGAAGGUACUAUGGUUCCAAGCCGUGGCCAAGCAGCAUUGCUCACUUUUUGUGCCAGCACAAGUCUGGCAAGUGUUGCCCUUGUUUUGACAAUUACUCUUCCAGACAUAGGAAACAAUUGGUUCUGGUUGACUAUAUUAAGGUCCUGUUUGACCCACAUUCUUUCCAAAAAAUACAUUCUUAAGUAGUGGUUUGAUAUCAUUUUAACCACAUAUUCUUCAAUAAAAUAAUAUUAAACACAAAUUCUGAACUUUUCCUUAUUUUUAACUACAUAUUUUUCAUCAAUACACUAUUCAAAAAUGCAUUUUAUAGAAAUAAUGUGGCUCAAACAAGGGCUAAGUCAUCUAGCGUUAGUUAUUUCCUCUUGAAACCGAGACUACAUUGUCUAACAUGUAAAAUGGAUUUGGGGAGUGUAUUAUUGGAUGAAAGCAUCUAGAAAGGAGCGGAUCAAGGUCAAAAUGAUAGUAGGAGAUGAUGGAACCCUGUCGGAGAUAAUUGUACAAGGUGAUGACCAACAAGUGGAGCAAAUGAGAAAGGAGCUCCAGUUCAGUGAAAAAGGCAUGGUUUAUGUGAAGGGCAUUUUUGAAAGCUGAAAUUAGAUGUCAUCUCAUGUCUUAGGUUGUUCUUUGUUUUGAUUUCUCAUAAGAAAGUUUUGAUGUGUAAUUUGUGUAUAAAUAUGUAUGUCACUAAUGUUCUAUUUAGAACGAGCACAACAUGAAUUCUUAUACACAUUUCAUUGUUGUGGUUUUGAACUAGUUUUCAA
rnacentral:lncRNA from 1 species